AGCGAACGCUGGCGGCAGGCCUAACACAUGCCAGUCGAACGAACCUUUCGGGGUUAGUGGCGGACGGGUGAGUAACACGUGGGAACGUGCCUUUAGGUUCGGAAUAACUCAGGGAAACUUGUGCUAAUACCGAAUGUGCCCUUCGGGGGAAAGAUUAAUCGCCUUUAGAGCGGCCCGCGUCUGAUUAGCUAGUUGGUUGAGGUAAUGGCUCACCAAGGCGACGAUCAGUAGCUGGUCUGAGAGGAUGAUCAGCCACAUUGGGACUGAGACACGGCCCAAACUCCUACGGGAGGGAGCAGUGGGGAAUCUUGCGAAAUGGGCGAAAGCCUGACGCAGCCAUGCCGCGUGAAUGAUGAAGGUCUUAGGAUUGUAAAAUUCUUUCACCGGGGACGAUAAUGACGGUACCCGGAGAAGAAGCCCCGGCUAACUUCGUG
rnacentral:rRNA from 1 species